UCAAAGUGGUUUUUUUUGACCCUCAUACUUUAUUAUCAUCAGCAGACAUCUACUGAGAUUCCACUUGCAAAUGUCUGAUCUCAGAUUGAAAGCAGUGCAGGAAAGAUAACUGGAGAAGAAUUUAAAGGACGCUUAAGUUGUGCAUUCCGGAUACCUGCUCUGCCUGUGAUUGAGUUACCAACCCACAUGUCUGAACAGAACUACACGGACCACUUACUUUAUAAAAAUGGAAGUGGUUGAAGUUUUUUGGCCACUAAUUGCAUUGGACAAGUCAGGAACAUUUUAAGCAUAUGUUUCCUUUUAAGAGUGUGAAUGAAG
rnacentral:lncRNA from 1 species